UAAAUCACAAUGCGGGACUGUUAGUCUUGCAAUUGGAUUGAGAACAACGUACAACUCUUAUCGAUAAGCCAUUGGAGGGCAAGUCUGGUGCCAGCAGCCGCGGUAAUUCCAGCUCCAAUAGCGUAUAUUAACGUUGUUGCAGUUAAAAAGCUCGUAGUUGAAGUGAGGGAGUGUGUGGGUAUGAGAGCUAGUCUCAAGUACUUACAACCUCCCCCCUCCAAUCGGUGUAGUGGGGUAUUCAGUUAUUCUACUACUCCUUUGGUCGUUUACUGUGAGAAAAUUAGAGUGUUCAAAGCGGGCGUUUGUUUGAAUAGAUUAGCAUGGAAUAAUGAUUGAAGGCUUUCGUGUUCGAUUUGAUUGGUUUGUUCAUGGAAGCAAGGUUAAAAGGAACAGUUGGGGGUAUUCAUAUUCACUAGUUAGAGGUGAAAUUCUCGGAUUUAUGGAAGAUGAAC
rnacentral:rRNA from 1 species